rnacentral:sRNA from 1 species
GAAAAUAAUCAAGACCAGGAUAACACCACAGAUCUCUGGCUUGCAAGACCUGCUCAUUGCCCCUUUCAUUGUUCAGAUAACACAUAAAAUUCAGGAUCAGGGCUUUGAAGAAUUCAGAUCGACAAAGUAAGAUGGGUAAGCCCAUAGAUGAUCUUCAGAAAGAGGUGACUGGCAUGGGGAGUCUUCUAAUUAAAACCACUUUCCAAGUAAACAGACUGCUUGGAUUUGAGCUAUUACCAGGCUCUCUUCAGUUCUUAAAACAUUUUCCUCACUCUGUGUGUAACAACAAAUGUGGGCCAAUUGCUGUGAGUUAAUUGAAUAGGAUUGUUUUCUAGUUGCCAAGAAACGGUGCUUUCUUACAUUAUGCAGACCAUUAUGUGUACAGAUCAAGCUUCCUGAUUUUUCUUUUAGAGUGGGAGAAUAUGGGCUGCUCUGAUCCAGUUGGGAGAGUAGCCCAGAUCAGGGAGGCUUAGGAGGGUGUUUUUCCAUUUCAAUUCUCCAGAUUUCCUCAGGAGUGUAUUUCCUUUAAACGGAAGAUCACCGAAAGGGAUUAAGAAUUGGAUUCCCCUGUUCUAUGUUCUUCAUACGAAUGGAAUUAUGACGCUUACUUUCCACAGUGGUUUCAAAGUCGCUGGCCCCCUCACUCUUCUGCUUCUGCCUCCCAUCACUAAGAUCACAGGUGAGUGCUACCAUACCCAUCUUUUUUACGUGCGUUCUGGGGAUCAAAACCUAGAUCUUCAUGCUUAAAUAGCAAGAGCUUCAUCAACUGUGUCCUCCCCCUCCCCGCCCCAUCCCCCAUUGCUCCCUUGAACUUUUGCGCAUUUACAGGAGUGUAAUUUCUGAUGGUACCACUUUGGUCCAACUGAACACACUUUUUCUCAAAUGUAUAUCUCCCCCCCCCCCAGACCAUAAUCUGCAGAGCAUAUCAUGGCUCAGAAUUUUUACCAGGGAUUUAGUGGUUUGAAUAAUUAAGGAUAAUCAGAUUUAUGAUAACUAGGUUUAUAUUUUGACAUAAGGAAUGUAGUAAACAUUGCCACUGGGAUGAUUUAAUUUCAGAGAACUCUAUGCUAAGGAAUCCAGAUGGCUCAUGAACGUGUACUUUGAGCAUCAUCAGUUAUGACACAUUGGGUGUGUGCACUGCGGUCAGCUCCUCCUUUAUGCCAUAUACGGCUCUGGCAAUUUAAUGACUCACUAUGGGUUAACGUCAGAAAAUCAGAGGCUGUUGCCCAUGUUCUAUGAUCCUACUGAAUGCUAACAUUUAAGAAUGUCUGCUUGCUCUGGAGAUACAGGCCGUUUUAUACUUUGAUUUUUGUAAAGAGUCUUAUUUUUCUGAAGCAGUAUCUGGAACUAUAGCCAGUUUCUCUCAUGUUUGCAGUCUCUCAUUCACACUGCUUUUGUAGUUGUCUAGUGAUGUAUGAAAGCAAGAUGAUAGAGUACCCUCCAUAUUUAGAAUUAGGAUAUUCCAGAAUGCCUCCCUUCUUCUUGGUUGUCAGGUAUUCCCGAGGUUCACAGACAUUUGCUCGCUGUACUGGAGUAAAUGAGGCAGGUAUCCGUUAGCUUAACCAUUUCCAAGAGGGAUGGAUGGCGAAGAAAUGUGUAAUGAAGGCAUGUACAUAGUAAAACAAUUUAAACAACUUGAGGCUGAGACUGGAGGAUCACGUGUUUGAGGGAGACCUGGUCCUCAUAGUGAGAGCCUGUCUAUAAAGCAAAGACCAUUAAGGUACCAUGAUGGUUAUGGGAUGCCUGGCUUUCAUCACACAUAUCCACUGUGUUCACUAAUGAGGGUAAAUAGCUCUUCCUGCCUUGGACUAGCACUAAGAUGAUUUUCUUAGCCUGUUGUAGCUGUGCACAUCAGAGACCGAUGCAGGAGGGUUACAAGUUUGAGGCCAGUCUGUGCAACAUAGCAAAACUCUCUCUGAAUUAAAAUAAAAACAGGCUAAAGGUAUUGUUUGGUGCUAAUGUGCUCGCUGGGAAUGUGCAAGGCCCUGGGGUUAACCCCUAGUGCCACAGAAAACAAAGCACCCACUAUUUUCUGUUGCUUAAUAUUUAUUAUGCCAUAUUUUCCCACAUAGCAUUGUAAGUGUGUCCCUUGGUUGCCUGUAGCUAAUUCUCAAAUAAAUAGGCAUGGAAGUAUUAUGACUGUGGCUGAAAAUGUUCCACAUAAAUAUUGUAAUGAUCCCAGGAGGGGUUCAACUUUAUUUCUAUUUGGGUGUUUUUCAUUUCGUGUGUUUAAAAAAAUUAACAUAAGUUUUGUGUGGAUUAAGAAAAAGAAAAGAUGAUUGGGAAGAAAAGUAAAGAUGUGUUAUUCCUAUAUGAGGUUUUUUUUUUCCCUUUAGUUUUAUCUACCCUGGAAUGAGGUAUAGAAUUUACUUGAAGACAAACCCAGAAAGCAUUGUUUUGAGUGCUAAUGGCCCUUUCCUUUAAAUGUUGCUGAAAUACUAGUGUCAAAAGGGAGUUACCAGCUUAAGCUGUGCCAAGUAGGGAAGGUGGGGCUGCAUGGGAAUGAGGUUUUGAUUAAUCAGGUUGUAUAAUAUUAUGCUGAGACAUGUUGGGAAUGCAAUUCAAAAUAACUUAACGUGUACUCCAUAUGAAAUCACAGGCUAGUGUACAUUGUAAAAAUCUGAGAUCUUCUGCUAUCCUCUCGUGUGUUUAUAAAGAAAUAAUGUGACAGAAAAUGAGAUCUCUAUGUGGUAUAUAUAGCUUUUCAUCUAAUAUUUAUGAGCCCCGAAGGAGCACAAAUCGAGGCCCACGUAUAACAUAUGGAAUUAUUGGUAAUCAUGAUAAAUACCUUUAAAAGAAAUACUUUCUCUUCUUUGUACUUCUACCUCAAAAGUGUAGCUCAGAAAAUCUUCCAACUCAAGAAUUUUUGGUACCUUUGCAGCUCUGUGUUUAAAAGGUAGGGGUUCUAGGAGAGGCUUCUCCGAGGCCUAUAAUCCUCCCCACUUCCACCCUGCCGUGCUGCCUUCCUAAAAAGCAAGAAAUCUCAAAUUGGCCACUCCUGUUCACAUGUCCACAGGAUCCACAGAGACUUCCUGCAACUGCUGCCAGGUAGGCAUCCCUCCGGGUCUGUAGUUUUUCAGACACUGUGUUUCACACUGAACAAUCUAUACUUCAGACUGAUCAGAGAAAGAAGCUGAGGCAGGUUGGGGAAGGUUUUGACAGGGGUCUCUGAGACUCCGGGGAAGCGCAGAAAGCAAAGAAGAACACACGAGGAGUCUGGCUCACUAUUCUGCUGAGCACAGCACAGAUUCCUUUGGUUUGGUCCAAUAAAACAGAAGAAAGAUUUGCUCAAGCAUAAAGACUAAAAACACAUUUGCCUGAGUUUCGUUUAUAUUGGGUGGGUGCUUGCAUGUUCAAGUAUACACACAUACACACACAUGCCUGGACUAAACUAUGCCAAAUUCAAUUGAAUAUAUUACAACAUUUAGAUGAUUGUGAAUAUCGAAACGAUUGGAACAAAAUAACGCAAUAGUGUCAAUAACCCUCUGAGAGCCCUGGAAAGCUGUUUUCCUCAUACAUGCACUGAAAGAACAGGUCCAUCUCACACCGCCUUGUGCUUCUCAGUGCAGAUGAGACCCACUAUCCUUUGCUGAGCAGAGGCCAUUAAGGGCCAGCUUGGAGAUGCCCACUUCAGCUGAGUGUCUUCUCUCUUGUUGGUUGCCUCGCUUCUGCAGGCUGUGAAUGUUCUUGGUCUUCUUGGCAUGCAUUUUGGAAGAGAUUUCCUUAGGCUUCAUAACACUUCCAUCAGGUAAGCCACAGCAAUGAGAACUGUGGUGGUGGUGGUUGUUGUUUUGAGACAAAGGUUACACUGUGCAGCCCUGGCUGGGCUGGAGCACAGUAUAGAGAACAAGUUAGCUUCCACAUCAUGGUGCUCCUCCAGCUCAUGGUGAUCUAAGUGCUGAAAUUACAAAUGCGAAGCACAAUGUCUCACUGAUGCUUAAUGUUUAGUCAUUUGACCAAAAUCCAUGAAGGUUGCAAAUUGUAUUUACUUUUGUAGCCAAGUGAUACUGGACAAAAAUUAGAAAAAUUGAAACAUGAAUAAGAAGCACUUUUUUUUAUUUGUGAGCAUAAAAGUUUUUGAGACAAUAUUUCAGCUAGUGUCUGUACUUUGGGCAUCGAGAACUCAAACCCUGGAUUAUAAGUAGUAGGAAAAUCUAUUAAGCAUAUAAAAGACAGUAUAGUAAUUGCUAGUAAAAUGAAUCAUCAAAUGUUCAAGCAGAUAUUGCAUUUACAGCCGCAAUUAAUACUGGGUUCAGUACCUUAAGAAACUUUUACAUAAUGGAUUUAAUCUGUUGUGAUAUGAUUGGCCAGAAUUUAUGAGAUGUAUUUUACUAUUUUCACUGCUUAAUAUCCUUGAUUAUGACCAUUCGGACUACUUUUGGGUUUAUUAGCCCAGCAGGUUUUCAAAUAUUUUACCACUCUGAAGAAGACUGUGAGUCUGUCUCUAGGUAACAGUUUAUGAAAUAGAAUCACCAUCUAUGUUAGUGUUCCCAUCACCUUGGAAGAUUUUUUUACCCAUAUGAUAUUUUCAGUGAUUAUUUGGGAAUUUCACAUAAUGCACACUUCCCAGUCACCCCAGGUCUACCCCAAUCCCACUGUUGUGUGACCUUCUCCCAGAGGUUGGUAAGAUUUUCAUAGCUUACACAUUUGUAUCUCACUAGCUUACCCAGGGUGUCAAGACUCUCUGUGAGUUUUGUUUUCUUUUGUGUUGUUUUGUUUUGUUUUGUUUUGUUUUGUUGAAGCUAAGUGCUAGUUUGUUAAAGAGGUCCCUAAGCUGUGCUCUAAACUGGCAAAGUCCUGGGCUCUUGAUGGGUGUUCCUGGUUCCUCUGCCUCAGUAACAGGUAGAACUUCUUUUUGGUAGCAUUCUGUGAUCAAGGGCCUGCAGCACUGGAGAAGGCAAAUGAUGUCAUUGAUUUCCUGUUACCUUUGUCCUGGAGGUUCCUUUUCACCUCAGCCUUCCUAGACCCUGGGCUCUGGUUAUGCAGAACAAUGGCCCUUGACAGCUACCACUUGCCUUGCCUGACUUCCCUGGUCUCCUACCUAAAUAUCUACUCUAGCCCUCACAGCCCUGUCUCUGCCUCAGUGAGAUUCUCCAAGUUGUCUGUCAGAGCCUACGUCCCUAGUAGAUACAUAUGUGUGUGGCUUUCCCCAGGGACCUCCUUAUCAGUUAAAGAAGGAAAGGCUGAGAAACCUAGACAUUCUUUCACAAACUAACAAAUAAAUUAGUCUCACUGUAACUUGUGUUAUCUAUUAUUACACGUCAUGUUUUCAUUGUGGGAUUCCUUCUGUUCUGUCCUGGCUUAGUAGACUUUCAGACUAUACAUCAGAACUAGUAACUACUUCCUUUUAUCGCCAGCCAUCCACACUGAAAACAGACAUCUAUGUGUAUGUGAUAGGUCAUUUGUUGUUGUUUAAUUAUGGUGUUCAUAAAUGUUUGUUUGUGAUGAAGUUUUUGAAAUAGGGUUAUAAAUAAUAGUUCAAUUGCAAAUAUUAAUCGAAGCAGACAGAUAUUGUCAAUACAUAGCAUUAGCCAAGAGCAUUAUCUCAUAGAAUGAUAUAGUAGCCAUUGUAGUUUAGAAAUAACAAUUCGAAAAAAUUGUCUAUUACCACUAAUAAGUAGAAUACUUCUUUUCAUUGCCAAGGAUGGGUAGAGAAGGAGGGGGAGGCAGUGUUAGCUUAGCCUUGUCUGGCCAGAGUUCGCAGUAAUGUUUCACUGUAACAUUUUCCUAAACUGCUUCACUGUGAAUUUGUGUGUUUAACUUAUUACGUGAAUCUUAUUAUUCACAGCACUAUUUCAAAACACUCAUGGGAAAGACGGUCAUUGUGUUUUCUGGUUUCUGACCUGAGAAACUGAACAACAGGUAGAUAAGAUCUGGGAAGUUGUUCAGGUGAACUAAUUUGCUUAACAACUGAUAUUACAUAGCUGAUUAAAAUUGUUCUUAUGAAGUUCUGCUCACAGAACUGAGCAGUUCUGGAAUGUUAACUUGAGAGUGUCUCAGACAACAAAGGCAUAUCCAGGCAAUGGCUAGGUUAUAUAGGAAAAAGUAUGAACGUUUAGAGUAUGUUGAGGCUCAAACUGCUGUUACCUGGGAGUGUUCUGACUUUACUGGAAGACAGACGGCACUGGCGCAGGAACGAGCGCUCUACUUUUUUUCCUGGCCAUCGCUUUGCCCAUAACUAGUCUGGUGAGCUCGAGCAGGUUCUUUGACCUCCUUUAGGCUUAGAUUCUUUUUUCUUUGUAAAUAAGGGGUUAGGCUCUGAUUUCUAAGGUCAAUUAGAACUAUGAAACCAUGUGACUUCUCUUAGGGUUUCUUUCAAAAUCCACAUUACAUAUUUAUUUAUGUCUUGGCCUAUCUUAAAGGUAUUACUGGACCCUAUCCAAUCACAGCUCAGGCAAACAAUGCAGCCACAGAGAGGAGGCUACUUGCGUCAUAUUAUUUUAUUUUUUUUACAUUCAAACAAUACCUGGCAAAUAAAUAAAGGUUUCUGAAAUUGCGAUUGGCACGGUGAGGCACGAUCCGCCGCGCUGAACACUUGAGCAAAGCACAUACAUAUUCAGUGCUCAGAAUGGAGCCGGAGCGGAUUACGUUUGCCCGGGGUUGUCAGAAGCUGGUGUUAGCAGCUGUGGAUGUGGCACAAGUGGUCGAAGCUCCACAGUUUCACCCUCCCCUGCUCUUCGGCCUUUCCCACCGUGUGCUCACAGCACAGCAGCUUUCCCUCGCUUUCCCUUAGAUCUUUUCCACCUGUACUCUCCCACUCGGGUGGCAUUCCUUUUUCUUCCAGAUUAUAAAUGCAUAACAGAUUUAUUUACUUUUUGUGUGUCUGUGUUGAAAUAGAGCACAGAUUAUAAUGUGACUCUUUCAGGUAGAACAGACUGUCUAAAAGAUGAUUUUUAACUGUUUUAUUUUUUCAGAGAACUUUGAUGGGGGCUCGCUAAGACUCACUAGCCUUACCGAAAGCAUAUUCAACUUUGUUUUAGUUAAGCCCAAGGCAAAUAAAUACUGUAUUUAUUUAUGUCCUCGGGCCCCUCGGGGUAUAUUCUAAUAUGACAUGUCUGGAACAAAGGAUGUGUGUCAGUUCUUGCUAGAAAUUUAGAAAGCAUUCUCAAUUUUUUAGAGGACUAUAUUAAAUAGUAUAUUUUAGGAAUAUAAUGACUAAAUUUUGUGAUUAAGAAGUUACUUAAGGCAAACAGAAUGUAAGAAUAAGAUUUGGGGUUUGUAGGAUUAAUGAGGGGUCCAGCACUAAGUGGGUCAGUGAUGAAAUACUAAGUCUGUGCAGCUUUGAGCAAGUUAUGCAUGGUUUUAAUUAUUAAUACACUAUUAAAGUACUUGAUAGCCUUCCUACUGCAUAAGGUUGUACCAUGCAAUAGGAAGACGUAUAUAGGGACUUAGAAGAGCACCAAAUAUGUAUUUGAGUGCUUAUUAUCAACCCCACACAGAAGGCAACGUGAGCUCAUUUUCUGGGUAAUGAAUUGAAGCCUGAGAUCCCGGGACUCAUUCAAAUUAACCUGGCAAGGAGCUAUAGACUGUGCGAUUUCAAAACCCUUUCUCUGCAUCCACCCUGACUCAUGGCUUCAUACUAUCAAACAGUGAUAAUGGAUGAGUAAGUCACGGCCCCUAAAGACAAUACUGCUGAAAAGGAAGUAAAAAGAAAACAGGCCAUUUUUUUUUCACAUGAGCAUUGGGUGUACUGUUCACGGGACGCUAGCCCAGGGCUGAGGAGCUAGCUUCCAUGAACAGUUGUAACUGACUCUGGUCUUACAGUGUGAACUGGAAAUAGAUCCUGGGAUAGAAGGAUCCUCCCCUGAGCAGAGGAUCCAGGGGAAGAGGGAUGGAGAGCUUGUUCUGCAUGUAAAUGUGCAGAAGCUUUGGGAGGAUAGGGAACACUGGUACUGCACAGGUCAGCUUGACUGGGACAUGGAGCCUAUGAUGAGGGGAGGUUUGCUUUUAAGGGCACAGUAUGAAUGUGGUCCCUUAAUCGAGAACAGUACAGGAAAAUGUCCAUGUUAAUGUAUAGUCUGCGGCCAGGCAAUCUGCACCUCAGGUGUGCAGGCUGGUGUUUAUGGAUGCUGAGGCGUGAGUCAAAAUCCCCUUAUGUAUUUUUAAUCUGUAUGUGUCUGACCUCAGGCUUGCCAAGGUCAGACGUGUCUAUAGAUAAUGUGUAUUCUGUAGGAAAAUAACCUUAUUAACAAUUGAGAGAAAUGCUUUCCUCACUUCCAGGAAUUCUUUCCCCAGGAAACUUAUCUACAUUAAGAUCAUAUGCUCAAAUGUCUUUGUUUCUAAUGGGAAACAAUCUUCAUGACUUCUUGUGUAAAACUAUUGUUUUGAGUGUUUGAUUUAACCAUUCUUGUGGCAGGAGAUCAUUUAUAAACCAAGAUUCCCAGGACCAUAGUUAAGCUUCAGAGAAAUACCGAUUUAAGAAUCACUGUAAAUUCUACUACUCAUAAAGAUAGAUUAUCUGAAGACUGAUUACCAACAGCAGGCUUCCACAAUCAGUAUACAUUUAGCAUUUAAAACUCAUUGAUAUAGUUACAAUUAAAUGAUUUGGAUGUUUGAUAACAUUUCAGCAAAAUACCUCAUUAAUUUUGAAAAACAUUUGAAAGUAGAAAUGAUAGUUCACCAAUUCUGCCACGUGUGGCUUAUACACGUUACUUGUAUGGUAUCAGUAUGUUGAACAAUAUUAAUAUUAACCUCAGAGUCGGUAGUCCUGUUAUGUGGCAUUUAACUCAAAUAUGUGAAGGAAAUAUACACCAAAUGCCAGGCACUGUUCUAAAUAUUAAGGAUGCCGGAAGAUUUAGUUGGACCCACAAAAAAGCCCUCUCUCUUUAUGUAGAUAAAAACGAAAAGAAUGUUCUCAUAAUGAUUUAUGGUAAGUACUAAAAUACAGGAAUGAAUUACACAUGUGGUAGAGUUGAGACUGGAGAUAGGACACCUUCCAGGCUGGACUAACACAAAUUACCUAGGCAAUUCGGCAUAAUUAUUUUCUCCAGUACUAGAGAAGAAGAGGGUGGAACAAAACUUUAUAUAGGUCAGAAAAACAUCGGAUUGGUGCUAACUUGUCUAAUGUUUGAUCUUAAUUCUGAUGAAUGAUAAGAUUAUUGGGACUGCCAGCUCCCUUGUCUUUUAAAAACACAGCUCUCAUAAGUAUUUUAAAACUAAACUAGAUAAUAUACGCCCAUUGAACUGGGAUUUUUAGGUUAUGUAAUAUUUCAUAAAAUACUGUAAAAGUCAAGUCAGUAGCUAAAAGAUGACUGUAUUUUUGAAAGUACUUUGUGUAGAUAUCAUACUUGAUAGAGAUUAAGAUUUCGUUUUGACUCCUGUUUCUCCAAAAUUGUGAAGUAUAUCUUGUUGUCUUUGAAGCAAGAUAAUUCAUUCUUAACCUCUGAUCUAUUUCCCCUGCAAUCUAAGUUCCCUGAAUUAUUAUGAAUAGAUCAAACCUUUUAAUCUGGACAGUCUGUCCAAAUGACACCCCUUCAUGUAUCUCAGUGCUCUCCAGACAGAAAAAGGAAAUUGUUCCUUGUUUGUUUUAGAUCUCAGUUGCUUUGUGGUGUCUCUAAAAAUGUGAUUGAUGUUAAGUACUGGGUUGGACCUCUGAGAGAAUAAACUUUAUACCAGUGACUCUCAACCUUCCUGAAGUG